AGCGAACGCUGGCGGCAGGCCUAACACAUGCAAGUCGAACGAACUCUUCGGAGUUAGUGGCGGACGGGUGAGUAACACGUGGGAACGUGCCUUUAGGUUCGGAAUAACUCAGGGAAACUUGUGCUAAUACCGAAUGUGCCCUUCGGGGGAAAGAUUUAUCGCCUUUAGAGCGGCCCGCGCCUGAUUAGCUAGUUGGUGAGGUAAAGGCUCACCAAGGCGACGAUCAGUAGCUGGUCUGAUAGGAUGAUCAGCCACAUUGGGACUGAGACACGGCCCAAACUCCUACGGGAGGCAGCAGUGGGGAAUCUUGCGCAAUGGGCGAAAGCCUGACGCAGCCAUGCCGCGUGAAUGAUGAAGGUCUUAGGAUUGUAAAAUUCUUUCACCGGGGACGAUAAUGACGGUACCCGGAGAAGAAGCCCCGGCUAACUUCGUGCCAGCCGCCGCAGUAAGAC
rnacentral:rRNA from 1 species